GGUGCCCUCGGGCGAAAUGAACAAAGCUGUUAAAGAAGCACUUGCUUGGUGUCAUUCCGAUAAGACACAGCGUGAUUUAUACCCUUUACAAACGAGGCAGGGUGAAAACCUCGCAGCUCAAAAGAAUCAAGAGUUAUGCAUGAAGCAACUAGCAACAGUUAAACAUGGGCGAAGCCACGCAUAAAAUAAAUGUAAAAACAUGAAGUGCGCGACAGCUGGUGCGAGGAUUUACCGGGCCACAUAAAACUAACAAUUUCAGUUCUUGCAAACUUCUGUAGCUUUAACAUGCAAAACAAUGCGCUCAUGCAGUCGUGCUGCCUAGCUAGCCCAACGCGGGAAAGAAGCGGAAAACAAUAUAAGCGGCAAACGGCAUUCCGAACUUUAGCGAAAUGCCUUUCAACCGCAUGUUGCACUGCAGACGAACUUCGUCGCUUACCCGUCUAACUACAAUUGAGUAAAAAAAUAAUAAUAAAAAAGAAAAAACACCGAAGCGACAAAGGAAAGGAUGAGAACAAGAAAUUUCGCGCCGAAGCUACGAUCCAUUGCCACCGUUGCUCCUGCUGAUGAGGCUUUGCGGGGAAUAAUUAGAACCGUAUCACCGGCACGUUUUCGCCGGUAUUUGAGCCCGGCCGUGUCUGCUGUGCCCGGGGCACAGCAGACGAAAGGUGCCCGAAAUGUCUACGUUCACCCAUGACGUCACAUCCGCUAUAACCCAUGAUGUCACAUCCGCUCAUUUCCAUGGCGGCCGUCUUACGGAGCCGGCUGCGCUGCGAAACGGUCCGUAUUCCAUGCCCACUUAGAGCACUGAACAUCCCACAUCUUGGUUUGACUUCCUGGUACAGGAUACUUGCACUUAGCAUGGAGUGAUGAAGCAGAGCAGUGUACUUUUAUUAAAUGUGCAGAUUUUAGCAGUAUAACAGCAGUUCAUUAAAAAAACGUGUGCUGAAAAUAAAGUGUUCUUACCCACA